UUCUGGUCUGCAGUUGCUGAUAGAGUAUAACUGAUUAAUUAAUUAAUUGUAGCCUGUCAUGGCUUAUGCUGGAUCUGACAAUAUUUUAGACACUAAUGGUAGCUCAGGCAGAGGCAGGUGGUAAUGGACAUGUGUCACCAAGCCUGGGCCUGAGCGUAAGGCAGGGGAGGGCACAAGCUGACAUCCCUCAGAGCUGUCCAGAAGAGGGUCUGAGGCUACCCAGGCCUGGCUGGUGCAGGAAGUCGGCUAGCAGCCUCAGCCACACAGAAUCCAGCAUAAGUGUUACUGCGCAGUCCAGGCAACUGCUGAGCUUGGUAGAGGCUGUCAGUGGGGAAACCAGCUUGUCCUGGCCUCUUCUGCCUGUGUUUGUACCAUCUGUGUGAGCCAUGAUGAUUAAUGAAAUCAUUGGUUAUUGGUGAUCAACUCAAUCUUUAGCUCCUUCUCUCUCCUCCCAGGAGGCUGAAUGGGAGAGGCUGGAGCUGAAAAUUCCAACCGUGUAAUGACUUGGUUGGUUCCCCUGACAACCAGCCCAGAAUCCUGAGACUAUCCAGGAGCCCCCAGCCACUGUCAUGUCACUGGCAUAUAAAAAGACACCUAUCACUUUGGAGAUCUCAAGAAACUUAGGAGCUGUGUUCCAGGAAACAGGGGCAGAGACUAAAUAUAUCCAUUUCUUAUGUCAUGGUGAGCCAUGGCGAUGAAACACAACGGCUUUGGAACUACCGGGACCUUAUUUUGUGGCCUGGUUGUCUGAGCUCUGCAAUCAGAUAAAAUUAUAAACACCUCUUGACUUCAGUUUCCACAUCUAGGAAAGUGAGAAUGGUCACACCUGACUUUCAAAAGUUGUUUUGUCAAAGAGCUAAGCCACCAUACGAGGUCAGUAGUCUUAUUCCCAUUUCACUUUGAUAAAACGGGGACCCAAGAUCACACAACGGAUAGGAGGCAGAGGUGAAACUGAACCACGGACACUGGAUGAUAAGUCCAUGCACCCUCCUUCCACCGCUGCCUCGUCUUGAAUGUGUGGGGGACUGCAGACCAACCCAGCAGAUAGAAAAUCCCACUUCUCCCUGUUUUUCUGCUAUCCAGCUUGACUGCAAGAAGUUGUGUUUAACCUGGCAGGACAUAGACUGUUUUCCCCUGGCCUCUUCGCCUCUUCCCUUUCAGAGCUGUGGGAACAGUGCUGCCCUCAGCCCUCACACUAUCCUGGUACCUGGGCAAGUACACCCAACAGGAAGCAUCUCAUCCAGAGCAAGUAAAAACACAGCAGGCUCUGCUGGAGCAGGUCUUUCAAAAGAAAAGCCCUCUCCAUUUUUGGCUCUUAAGAAACCACAUGUCUUGCGAACCUUUACUUUGCAGCUUUUCCGGGAUAUGGGGGAGCUACCCCCAGUGCUGCCUGGCAUGACCCUAUUUGCUUUUGCCAGAGCUUUCUUGCAUCACUGAUGCCCAUUGAGCUCUUCUGUUCACACUUCAAGACAACCUUUUGCUUCCCGAGUGCUCCCUGGACAGCUGACCCCAUCUUGCUUGAGCAAAUUGUCAUGGAAAAACCCUUCAGGUGGCUGAGACACAGGCAAGAGGGUCCGCACUGGUGAGUCCACCUGUCUGAGCCAAGACCUGUCAUCAGUUGACCUAAUUGAAUUUGAGGGACAUUAAUAAUUAGACAAACGAUGGGCCAGCAAAUAAAAUGGAGCCUUUAGCUAUCAUUGAGAAAUAAUUAGCCAAAUAAAAACUGGUUCAGUGAUUAGGCUCUGUAUCUGAGGCAAAAUUUCUUAUAGACAGUUGAUGCCCAAGGAUGACUGAUGACAGAGAAAAGCCACUGUGUGUAUCUCUGGGACCACAUAAGGAGGCACAGGCAAGAACUUUAUAAUGCCUUUUCCUAACUCGCUGCAGGAAGGCAAUUUGGGGAUGAACUGCAAGAACUUUAACCAAAGCACUGGCAAUGCACCUCUGACUUUGCAACUAUAAGAAUCUUUCAUCCAAACAGCAGUUUUACUAAACAUGCACAUAAAAAAUUUUACUCACAAGUAAGACUGGCAUCCUGAACCAUCCUCUCCAAGCCUGUGUUCCCAACCACAGGAUGGCCAUGAUGAUUAGCUGAAAUGGCUGUGUGUAGUAUGCACUGCAGAAAUGCAAAAUUUAUCAUAUCUUAAUGUCCUUGCCCUGUCAACAUUUCCUAUAUGAGAACAGUUAGGUGGUCUGCAGUGUUUCCUGACACUUUCUCUGCACGUUUAUUUUCCAUGUAGCUGGAGUAGAACCCGAAAGAAGAGAAUGGACAAAACAAAGUUGACUUAACUAUGAGUCAGGCAUUGAGCAAAGGGCUUUAUAAUCAUGAUCUGAUUACUUCCUUAAAGCAAUGCCAUUGUAUCAAAUUUACAGAUUAAAAACCUAAGGCUUGUGGAGAUUAACAGCCCGCAGCUCAUAUGUUUAAACUAGGACUCAACCUAGAUCUGCUUAACUAUGAAGGAAAUCCAUGUCGUUUUUACUAAAUCAGUAAGAAACCUCUAAUAAUCCACAUGUUCACCUGUAUAAAUCUUGAAAAAGGGAUGCUUCUUGUUCUGCCUUGGAGACAAUACAAAAACCUACCAUGACUUACAAAUUCUCCGAUAAAUAUUAAGUUAUGUUUGAUUAAAAUUUUGUUUAAAAAAACCAGUUGCCAUGUUUCAAUGUUGAAAACUAUGCAAUAUCUGGUGCCUUCCAGUUAAAUAGAACAUUUGGUUAAUCAGGACAUCAAGUUCCUGAGCAUUCCAGAUAAAAAAGUUUUCUUUACAAAUGUGUAAUAAAUACAACAUGGAGAAGAACUCACAGGCUGUGUUUUGAGAAACACUUUGGAAGUAGUGGGACUAUACCAAAUAGUGGAUGAUAAUUGACUUCUUUGCUCUUUUCUGCUCUUUUCUCUCCAAUUUCCAUCACCUGUCUGGGAGAUUGGGAGUGGAAUGAAGGAGGAUCACUGUCUCUGCUUCACUUUUGCUCUUUAUGUGUCUGCUGCCUUGAUGUGUGGGAGAGGAGGUGGCCCAAGACCCACAAGUCACGGUGGUAAUAGAAUGUGCUCCAGCCCUCUGGUACCUUUCACUCUCACACCGGUUGUCCUGCCUGGCAAAGAGAAGACUUGAGUUAAUCGGCCCAUGACCUUCUCUUGGUUGUAUCUAUUAUCUACUGCAGAUCCUGCCUUUCUCAAGAUGGGACAGUGAAGGAACCAAAUGCACAUGCAUUAUUUCAUUUCCUCAACACAAAUCCCACAGAGUAGGAGUCAUUUUACCCAAGUUAUAGAUAAAGACACUGAGGCUCCAGAAAUUUAAGUGACGCAUCAAUAGCAAUAUAGCCAGUGAGCAGUGGAGAGGAGCUUUAAAUCCAGGCAGUUCAUGCUCCAACAGAAAUUGAAGUCUCAUAAGAGCCUACAGGAGGCUAUAAUACACAGCACUGGUGUGGACCUCCCUUAAAAGAACUGCCCUAGUGGGCAGGGGAGCGAUGUCCCAGCUCCACCUAUGAUCUAUGACCUCUAUCUCUAAUAGAAGGAGGCUGUUAUUAUAUCAUUCAGAACAGAACUUUACAUAUUUUUUUAAAAAGUGUUCUUUCCCUCAAACUUUAUAAAUAAGGCAAAGAGGAUUGAGUGAUUGAAUGUUAACAAAAUAAACCCCUCAGAAAUAAA